GUUUGGAGGUGUGUUGUGAUGAACUCUGAAGCUACAUGAAGUUUGGAGGUGUGUAGUGAUGAUGAACUCUGAAGCUACAUGAAGUUUGGAGGUGUGUAGUGAUGAUGAACUCUGAAGCUACAUGAAGUUUGGAGGUGUGUAGUGAUGAUGAACUCUGAAGCUACAUGAAGUUUGGAGGUGUGUAGUGAUGAUGAACUCUGAAGCUACAUGAAGUUUGGAGGUGUGUAGUGAUGAACUCUGAAGCUACAUGAAGUUUGAAGGUGUGUAGUGAUAAACUCUGAAGCUACAUGAAGUUUGGAGGUGUGUAGUGAUGAACUCUGAAGCUACCUGAAGUUUGGAGGUGUGUAGUGAUGAACUCUGAAGCUACCUGAAGUUUGGAGGUGUGUAGUGAUGAACUCUGAAGCUACAUGAAGUUUGGAGGUGUGUAGUGAUGAACUCUGAAGCUACAUGAAGUUUGGAGGUUUGUAGUGAUGAUGAACUCUGAAGCUACAUGAAGUUUGGAGGUGUGUAGUGAUGAUGAACUCUGAAGCUACAUGAAGUUUGGAGGUGUGUAGUGAUGAUGAACUCUGAAGCUACAUGAAGUUUGGAGGUGUGUAGUGAUGAUGAACUCUGAAGCUACAUGAAGUUUGGAGGUGUGUAGUGAUGAUGAACUCUGAAGCUACAUGAAGUUUGGAGGUGUGUAGUGAUGAUGAACUCUGAAGCUACAUGAAGUUUGGAGGUGUGUAGUGAUGAACUCUGAAGCUACAUGAAGUUUGAAGGUGUGUAGUGAUGAACUCUGAAGCUACAUGAAGUUUGGAGGUGUGUAGUGAUGAACUCUGAAGCUACAUGAAGUUUGGAGGUGUGUAGUGAUGAACUAAUCUGAAGCUACAUGAAGUUUGGAGGUGUUUAGUGAUGAUGAACUCUGAAGCUACAUGAAGUUUGAAGGUGUGUAGUGAUGAACUCUGAAGCUACAUGAAGUUUGGAGGUGUGUAGUGAUGAACUCUGAAGCUACAUGAAGUUUGGAGGUGUGUAGUGAUGAACUCUGAAGCUACAUGAAGUUUGGAGGUGUGUUGUGAUGUAGAGACUCUGCAGAAAGUCUCUUCCACUGUGUUAUAAUAUCACUGACAGUUGGCUGUGGAAUAUUUAGUAGUGAGUAGUGAAA